rnacentral:rRNA from 1 species
CUACGGGCGGCAGCAGUGGGGAAUAUUGGACAAUGGGGGCAACCCUGAUCCAGCAAUGCCGCGUGUGUGAAGAAGGCCUGCGGGUUGUAAAGCACUUUCAGUAAGGAGGAAAUCCUUAAGUUUAAUACGCUUGAGGCUUGACGUUACUUACAGAAGAAGCACCGGCUAACUCCGUGCCAGCAGCCGCGGUAAUACGGAGGGUGCGAGCGUUAAUCGGAAUUACUGGGCGUAAAGCGCGCGUAGGCGGCUUGGUCAGUCGGAUGUGAAAGCCCCGGGCUUAACCUGGGAAUUGCAUUCGAUACUGCCUGGCUAGAGUAGGAUAGAGGCAAGUGGAAUUCCAGGUGUAGCGGUGAAAUGCGUAGAUAUCUGGAGGAACACCGGUGGCGAAGGCGGCUUGCUGGAUCAAUACUGACGCUGAGGUGCGAAAGCGUGGGGAGCGAACAGGAUUAGAUACCCCUGUAGUC